rnacentral:rRNA from 1 species
GAUGAACGCUAGCUACAGGCUUAACACAUGCAAGUCGAGGGACCGGCGCACGGGUGAGUAACACGUACCCAACCUUCCCUUUACUCGGGGAUAGCCUUUCGAAAGAAAGAUUAAUACUCGAUGUUAAGGAUGGGGAUGCGUUCCAUUAGGUUGGUGGUGAGGUAACGGCUCACCAAGCCUGCGAUGGAUAGGGGUGCUGAGAGGAAGCUCCCCCGCAUUGGAACUGAGACACGGUCCAAACUCGUACGCGAGGCAGCAGUGAGGAAUAUUGGUCAAUGGGCGUUAGCCUGAACCAGCCAAGUAGCGUGAAGGGUGUAUGCUUAUGGGUCGUAAACUUCUUUUAUAUAAGAAGAUGUAUUAUAUCAAUAAGGAUCGGCUAACUCCGUGCCAGCAGCCGCGGUAAUAC